GGAGAAAGGGUUAACAGGGCUGUACAGAACUCCAAAUUCACCUAUCUAUCCAUCACUGGCAACAGAGGCUCUCCAGUGUUGCUGAAGUACAGCUCUGACUGCCAACAGCAAUCCAUCAGACAGCAAUAAGGACAAAUUUAGCUCUUUCCAUUCAUCAAAGCCUGUCAGACUAAUCAAGCCUGAUUCUGGUUCUGCUUACAUCACUGUGAACUGGGAGUAUUCCUGCAUGUGAACAGAUCAUUCUUUAUGUGGGAGACAGUAAUAGGGAGAAAGGCCAUUAUGCUAGAAGGAUGUAGGCAACCUGGCUGUACCUGACUUAACCUUGAGGACUGGGACCAUAGGAGAUCUCAGCAGUG